rnacentral:rRNA from 1 species
UGCUAAGGCCGAUGGCGACCGGCGCACGGGUGAGUAACACGUAUCCAACCUGCCGUCUACUCUUGAACAGCCUUCUGAAAGGAAGAUUAAUACAAGAUGGCAUCAUGAGUCCGCAUGUUCACAUGAUUAAAGGUAUUCCGGUAGACGAUGGGGAUGCGUUCCAUUAGAUAGUAGGCGGGGUAACGGCCCACCUAGUCUUCGAUGGAUAGGGGUUCUGAGAGGAAGGUCCCCCACAUUGGAACUGAGACACGGUCCAAACUCCUACGGGAGGCAGCAGUGAGGAAUAUUGGUCAAUGGGCGAGAGCCUGAACCAGCCAAGUAGCGUGAAGGAUGACUGCCCUAUGGGUUGUAAACUUCUUUUAUAAAGGAAUAAAGUCGGGUAUGGAUACCCGUUUGCAUGUACUUUAUGAAUAAGGAUCGGCUAACUCCGUGCCAGCAGCCGCGGUAAUACGGAGGAUCCGAGCGUUAUCCGGAUUUAUUGGGUUUAAAGGGAGCGUAGAUGGAUGUUUAAGUCAGUUGUGAAAGUUUGCGGCUCAACCGUAAAAUUGCAGUUGAUACUGGAUAUCUUGAGUGCAGUUGAGGCAGGCGGAAUUCGUGGUGUAGCGGUGAAAUGCUUA